rnacentral:lncRNA from 1 species
ACAUUGUCCUCGCUCUGUUUACAACGCUAAAUCACAGAUUUUCACGUCUUGAUACAACGGCUGCAUUCCAAGCCACAACAAGUGCAACUUCAGACUGGGUUUAGCAGAACUCUUCCCAACCAUAAAACCCAUGUCUUCAACUUCUAAAACUGUAUUAAAUUCAUACGAUUGAUAAUAAACGACGAACUAUCUUUACUACCAUUUAU